UGAACACAGGGAGAAGUCCCUGGCCUGUUACCUCAGAGGAAAGCCCAUCAUGGCACUGAGCGUCCAAGAGAAAGCCCAGAUCGUUAACGAGUACAAGCAAGCUGAA
rfam:Pseudomonas knackmussii B13 complete genome